rnacentral:rRNA from 1 species
GGGGACCUGCGGAAGGAUCAUUAAAGAGUAAGGGUGCUCAGCGCCCGACCUCCAACCCUUUGUUGUUAAAACUACCUUGUUGCUUUGGCGGGACCGCUCGGUCCCGAGCCGCCGGGGCUUCGGCCCAGGCGAGCGCCCGCCAGAGUUAAACCAAACUCUUGUUAUUUAAACCGGUCGUCUGAGUUAAAAUUUUGAAUAAAUCAAAACUUUCAACAACGGAUCUCUUGGUUCUCGCAUCGAUGAAGAACGCAGCGAAAUGCGAUAAGUAAUGUGAAUUGCAGAAUUCAGUGAAUCAUCGAAUCUUUGAACGCACAUUGCGCCCCUUGGUAUUCCGAGGGGCAUGCCUGUUCGAGCGUCAUUACACCACUCAAGCUAUGCUUGGUAUUGGGCGACCGUCCUUUCGGGGGCGCGCCUCAAAGACCUCGGCGAGGCCUCACCGGCUUUAGGCGUAGUAGAAUUUAUUCGAACGUCUGUCAAAGGAGAGGACUUCUGCCGACUGAAACCUUAUUUUUUUUUACAGGUUGACCUCGGAUCAGGUAGGGAUACCCGCUGAACUUAAGCAUAUCAAUAAGCCGGAGGAA